GAAACCGUGAGGUCAAGCAAAUCCCAUAAAGUUGUUCUCAGUUCGGAUUGUAGUCUGCAACUCGACUACAUGAAGCUGGAAUCGCUAGUAAUCGUAGAUCAGCAUGCUACGGUGAAUACGUUCCCGGGUCUUGUACACACCGCCCGUCACACCACGAGAGUUUGUAACACCCGAAGCCGGUGGAGUAACCUUUUAGGAGCUAGCCGUCGAAGGUGGGACAAAUGAUUGGGGUGAAGUCGUAACAAGGUAGCCGUAUCGGAAGGUGCGGCUGGAUCACCUCCUUU
rnacentral:rRNA from 1 species